rnacentral:rRNA from 1 species
UUGAACGCUGGCGGAAUGCUUUACACAUGCAAGUCGGGCGGCAGCGCGGGGGCAACCCUGGCGGCGAGCGGCGAACGGGUGAGUAACAUAUCGGAACGUACCCAGACGUGGGGGACAACUAGUCGAAAGACUAGCUAAUACCGCAUACGUCCUGAGGGAGAAAGCGGGGGAUCGCAAGACCUCGCGCGGACGGAGCGGCCGAUGGCAGAUUAGGUAGUUGGUGGGAUAAAAGCUUACCAAGCCGACGAUCUGUAGCUGGUCUGAGAGGACGACCAGCCACACUGGGACUGAGACACGGCCCAGACUCCUACGGGAGGCAGCAGUGGGGAAUUUUGGACAAUGGGCGAAAGCCUGAUCCAGCCAUGCCGCGUGCAGGAUGAAGGCCUUCGGGUUGUAAACUGCUUUUGUACGGAACGAAAAAGUCUUCUCUAAUACAGGGGGCGAAUGACGGUACCGUAAGAAUAAGCACCGGCUAACUACGU